AACUAUGGAAUUCUCUAAAAUAGUGAACUAGUAACAACUUGUAUUGGAAUAUUGGAGGUGAGGGUCUAUCAUUACCCGCCGCCCCAUAAUCCACCUUGUCCUCAAGGUAGAAGUAUGAUUCAACUUUAAAAUUCAAAAUUUCAUGUAACUGCAUCAUUUCUUUGAUAAGAGUUCCACCAUGCCAAAUGCCGAAAUGCGAUAUUUUAGUCCACAUGCCGUUAAGAAGUUCUUGUGCCGACUGCCAACACUUAAAAUGUUAUUCGUGCAAAUCCCAUGACCAAU
rnacentral:lncRNA from 1 species